GAUGAACGCUAGCUACAGGCUUAACACAUGCAAGUCGAGGGACCGGCACACGGGUGAGUAACACGUAUCAAACCUGCCCUUUACUCGGGGAUAGCCUUUCGCGAGAAAUAUUAAUACCCGAUAUAAAGGAUGGGGAUGCGUUCCCUUAGGUUGUUGGUGAGGUAACGGCUCACCAAGCCUUCGAUGGAUAGGGGUUCUGAGAGCAAGGUCCCCCAGAUUUGAACUGAGACACGGUCCAAACUGCUACGGAAGGCAGCAGUGAGUAAUAUUGGUCAAUGGGCGCUAGUCUGAACCAGCCAAGUAGAGGUAAGGAUGAAGGCUUAUGGGUCGUAAUCUUCUUUUAUAUAAGAAUAUGUAUUAUAUGAAUAAGGAUCGGCUAACUCCGUGCCAGCAGCCGCGGUAAUUC
rnacentral:rRNA from 1 species